rnacentral:rRNA from 1 species
GAUGAACGCUGACAGAAUGCUUAACACAUGCAAGUCUUUGGCGAAGCUGUGCUUGCACCGCCUAGCCAAGGCGGACGGGUGAGUAACGCGUAAGGAACUUGCCCUGCAGUCAGGGAUAACAGACGGAAACGACUGAUAAGACCUGGUAAAGUCAGGCGGACUCAUGUCCAGCCUGAUGAAAAGUGAUGCUGCAGGAGAGCCUUGCGUCCUAUUAGCUUGUUGGUGGGGUAACGGCCCACCAAGGCGAUGAUAGGUAGCCGGCCUGAGAGGGUGGACGGCCACAAGGGGACUGAGAUACGGCCCUUACUCCUACGGGAGGCAGCAGUGGGGAAUAUUGGACAAUGGGGGCAACCCUGAUCCAGCAAUUCUGUGUGCACGAUGAAGGUUUUCGGAUUGUAAAGUGCUUUCAGCAGGGAAGAAAAAAUGACGGUACCUGCAGAAGAAGCGACGGCUAAAUACGUG